rnacentral:rRNA from 1 species
AAAGUUGAAAAGAACUUUGAAGAGAGAGUUCAAGAGUACGUGAAACCGUUCAGGGGUAAACCUGAGAAACCCGAAAGGUCGAAAGGGGAGAUUCAACCUGUUCGGCGUUCGCGAGCGGCGCGCGUCUGAGAUUGGGAUACCUCCGUGUAGCCCCGCUCGGCGCGUCGAACGAUCGGGCGUCGAACGCGUGCACUUCUCCUCCUGUAGGACGUCGUGACCCGUUGGGCGCCGGCCUAAGGCCCGCGGUGGAGCCCGGACGCCUUUGGCGCGUCCGGACCCGC